rnacentral:lncRNA from 1 species
UUCUUGCAACAAAACUCUCAUGGGAGAAUUUGGUCCUUCAUGAGGAAAAGGAUAGCACUGCUCGUCUCCUGUUUUCUUCAACACCACAAGAGAAACCUACCUUUUUUAACAACUACUGUAUCAUAUUAGCAUCAAGAAGAAGGUUACAUCAAGAAUAGUUUACACUUCUUUUUCUUUAGAGUAAUGUUUAGAAGACAAGAUACAAUCAUCUAAAUUGAUUUGGACAUGUUCUAGAGAAACCUACAGGUUAUAUAGUUAGAU